GCUUACGGCCAUACCACCCUGAACACCCCGAUCUCGUCCGAUCUCGGAAGCUAAGCAGGGUCGGGCCUGGUUAGUACUUGGAUGGGAGACCGCCUGGGAAUACCAGGUGCUGUAAGCU
rnacentral:rRNA from 1 species